rnacentral:rRNA from 1 species
UACGGAGGAUGCAAGCGUUAUCCGGAAUGAUUGGGCGUAAAGCGUCCGCAGGUGGCGAUGUAAGUCUGCUGUUAAAGAGUCUAGCUCAACUAGAUAAGAGCAGUGGAAACUACAUAGCUAGAGUACGUUCGGGGCAGAGGGAAUUCCUGGUGUAGCGGUGAAAUGCGUAGAGAUCAGGAAGAACACCAGUGGCGAAGGCGCUCUGCUAGGCCGUAACUGACACUGAGGGACGAAAGCUAGGGGAGCGAGUGGG